rnacentral:tRNA from 1 species
CUGACAGUCUAGUGGUCAGGACUCUGCACUUCCACUGCAGGGGGCACAGGUUUGAUUCCUGGUCAG